UAAAUCACACAAUGAAUUCACAUUACAUGCUCUAAAUGUAUGAUCUCAAGUGUCACCAAACUGGCAUUUUACCUCUUACAAUAACAUUUGCUGAUAAUUUCAAAAAAAAAUAUGAUAAUAAAGAUGUAAGAAUCACCUGUUAUCAUGGGACUUGAUUCUGAUAGUUUCUCGGUGGCUUCCACAUAGCCUUUGUAGCGUAAACGGUAGGCCAUCAACA
rnacentral:lncRNA from 1 species